rnacentral:lncRNA from 12 species
GCAAUGUAUAGUGCCCCAUGGCUGCAUAUCUAUGGGUAAUUUGGUUUCGCUGUGUUCAGGGAGGCUGGCUUAAGAGUAUGCACUUGACAUCUUGCCAGGACGCUGAAUUUUGAAGUGUAUUAGAAGGUAUCUCCAAGGGGAAGUCAACUUUCAAGACUAAAAGUGGCCUGCACUGAGUUCACCAAGUCUCAGCCUUUCGAUUUCCAGGCUCUUCACAUCUCUUAAUGAGGAGUUGCACACCACAACCCAGCUUGGGUGGGCCCCAGAGACGUUUUCCCUGGAGAAGAAAUUGGAGAGAGUUUCAUGCUGACUCUGCAACAGGAUAAGAGAAGGAAUUAGCAUUUAUUGAGCUCCCGCUGUGUGCUCUUCUGCGCCAGAUGCUUUUGCUGAACACCGCAAAAUCUCUGGAAGCAGGUUCUCCCUGUCUCCUGUGGACAAUGGCAGCCCUGACUGACACAAGACCUCCUGCAGCGGCUGGAAACUGCUUGCUUCUGGGCAAGUCACAACCUUGGGAGCAACCUGGGAACAGGAGACAAGUCCUCCUAAUUUGUAUUCUCAGCAAGAUUCAAGAUGACAUGGCACUGAUGAAAAGGGAGAAAUUUGAAAUCAGGAUAGAUUGCUUUCUGAUGAAAACAUGAAUUCCCUAAUUUAGAAAACCAUCUUGGACAGCAUGAAUAACAUAGUGGAUAAGGGAGAAAAGAGACUCGUUGAUUUUGAAGGAUGGUUUGAUAAAUUAUCUGAUUAUUCAGAAAUGUAAAAAGAUUUCCUAUAAGUGUAAAAAGAUUGAGAUCAUGAGCAAAAGAUAAGAGUCAUGAAAAAUUGAUUCAGGAGGUGUUAUAAAAGCUAUUUUCCAGAGCUGAAAAGGCUAAAAUCUUUAGAUUAAAAGGGCUUACCAAGUAUCAAAGAAAUUAAUAUAAAGAAUGAGUACACACUUAAGAAUCCCCUGGAAAUUUUUUUAAAAUUUAAGAAUAAGGGGGCAAAAAUCUUAUAAGCAGCCAUAUAAAUAAAAUGAACAAAAUGAUCA